CGGCCGUCUGGAGAUCGAGCUUGCGGAGGUUGAGAUGCCAGGCCUCAUGUCUUGCAGGACUGAGUUCGGACCCCAGCAGCCAUUCAAGGGUGCCAAGAUCACUGGCUCACUCCACAUGACCAUCCAGACUGCCGUCCUUAUCGAGACCCUCACCGCCCUUGGCGCCGAGGUCCGCUGGUGCUCCUGCAAUAUCUUCUCCACCCAGGACCACGCCGCCGCUGCCAUUGCCCGCGACAGCGCCGCCGUCUUCGCCUGGAAGGGCGAGACCCUACAGGAGUACUGGUGGUGCACGGAGCGGGCCCUCGACUGGGGUCCCGGUGGCGGCCCCGAUCUCAUCGUGGACGACGGCGGCGACGCUACCUUGUUGAUCCACGAGGGGGUCAAGGCUGAGGAGGAGUACGCCAAGAGCGGCAAGUUACCGGACCCCUCCUCCACCGACAAUGCUGAGUUUCAGAUCGUUUUGACCAUUAUUAGGGACGGAUUGAAGACAGAUCCGAAGAGAUAUCACAAGAUGAAGGGGAGAUUGGUUGGUGUUUCUGAGGAGACCACCACCGGUGUUAAGAGGCUUUACCAGAUGCAAGCUAACGGCACUUUGCUUUUCCCUGCUAUUAAUGUCAAUGACUCUGUCACCAAGAGCAAGGUAUUCUCCAGAUCUGUGAUAUUUGGGAAUUGUUUUCAACGAUUCAACCAAUUUGUUUGGUGGAUCUAGUUUGGAUUACUAGAAGAGUCGUAAUUUUGUGUUUUGUUUUGUUUUGUUUUUCUUAACAAUUUUCUGUUCUGGAUGCAAACAGUUCGACAAUUUGUAUGGAUGCCGCCAUUCACUCCCUGAUGGGCUGAUGAGAGCUACGGACGUGAUGAUUGCCGGAAAGGUUGCAGUUGUAUGCGGAUACGGAGAUGUGGGCAAGGGCUGCGCUGCUGCCCUGAAGCAAGCUGGAGCCCGGGUGAUCGUGACGGAGAUAGAUCCGAUCUGUGCUCUGCAGGCCCUGAUGGAGGGUAUCCCGGUUCAAACCAUUGAGGAUGUCGUCUCUGAAGCAGACAUCUUCGUGACCACCACCGGUAACAAGGACAUCAUCAUGGUUGACCACAUGAGGAAGAUGAAGAACAAUGCAAUUGUUUGCAACAUUGGCCACUUCGACAACGAGAUUGACAUGUUAGGGCUGGAGACAUACCCGGGUGUGAAGAGAAUCACCAUCAAGCCCCAAACUGAUAGGUGGGUGUUCCCUGAUACCAAUUCGGGCAUCAUAGUGUUGGCAGAGGGGCGACUCAUGAACUUGGGUUGCGCCACUGGCCACCCCAGCUUUGUGAUGUCAUGCUCGUUCACCAACCAGGUGAUUGCACAGCUGGAGCUGUGGAAGGAGAAGGCCAGUGGCAAGUAUGAGAAGAAGGUGUAUGUGUUGCCAAAGCAUCUCGACGAGAAGGUUGCUGCGCUUCACCUUGGGAAGCUUGGGGCCAAGCUCACCAAGCUUAGCAAGGACCAGGCUGACUACAUCAGUGUGCCCAUUGAGGGUCCUUACAAGCCUCCUCACUACAGGUACUGAGAGAGAAGACCCACAGAUAUGUGGAUGGGCUUGAUUUGCCUUCUUUUACAAUCUGAUUUAUGUUAGAAUUAUAGGUUUGAUUUUUGCAUUUUUUUUUUCCUGUCAUGGGGGUUGUUUGGGGUUUGGGAAGAAAAAGAAGAGAGAGAAAAAACCGAGAUCGGUGUCUUCCGUUGAAGAAGAUGAGCAGAUGUGGGGAUUCAAUAAGGAUUGUGAUUGAGGGCUGUGUGUGAGAGAGUAUUCUGGUUAAAAACCAAAAAAGAGAGAAAAAAAUAUUUUAUAUGUCAGUUGUUUUCACUUAUGCUUUUCGUUUAUUUCAAGAUGAAAUAAGUCAAUUACACAAAUUACACAAAAUUAUGAUCUGGUUUAUUUUUCCAACGAUUGCCUAAGAGGAUUCACUUUUAUUCUCAUAAUCUUUUUGGGUGAGUUUAGCAUUUUUGUGAAGAAUUUUAGCCUUGGAAAGCCUUGGCCUACAUAGUGGGUGUGAACAGGCAGGUCAUCCUAUCAUAAAACCCCUCACAUCUCUUCUCCCAUAACACUCAAAAAGUGAAGCAUCUCAUGCCGACACCGAGUCACCGACAGCCACUAUCUUGAUAACCAUGGGCCAAACUUCUCCCCAUUUCCGGCGACCAUAUCCACCAUAAAUGAACCCUUUUGGGUAAUUGGUAAAAAAGUAUUGUUAGAAUAGACAACUCACCAAACCUACUAUCAUAAAUAAAGCAUGUAACUCACAUUUUGUUUGCCCCAAUUGUUUUAUUUAAUUUAUGUAGUGUUUGGUUGUUUUAAAUUAUAUAUAUUUUUUUGGUUUGAAUGGGCAAUUCACCGAACGUAUCAUAAGCAUCCAUUGAUAGAACGCAUUUUUUUUGCCCCCAAUUAUUUUAUUUAAUUUAUGUAGUCUCUGGCUGUUUUCAAUUAUAUUUUAAUGGUUUGAUUUUUAAAUAGAUAAUAUAAAAAAAAACUCCAUUUUAUUUUAUAUAUAUAUAUUAAAUAGGUAAUUAUUAAGGAAAAUCAAUUUAUUAAUUAAAUCUUAAAGAUUUGAAAAUUAAGAAUACAAAAUUUAGGCUUGGUAACAGUUUUAAAAAACAAUUUUGAAAACUAAUUUUUUAUAAUAGUUUUUGAAAACUAUUUUUUGAUAUUUUGUAAAAUAAAAUUUUGUUUGAGAACCUAAAAUGUUUUUAAUAUUUAAAAAUAUUUUUUAUAUCUAUUAUUUUAUUUUUAAUCAUUUUAUAUUCUUGUAUAAUUAUUUUAUAAAACAAUAUUUAGAAAACAAGUGCAAAUAACAUAAAACAAUUAUGAAAACGUUAUAUUUUUUGUUUUUAAAAAAAAUAGAAAAUAAUAUUUAAUUAUUAAAAAUAAUGUAUUUUUUUGUUUUUCUGUUCUAAAAAAUAGAAAAAACUAUUAUCGAAGUCAAAUAACCCCUUAAAAUUCUAGCACUUACUCACAUUAUAUAAGGUUGAUCCCUACAUUGUGUGGGUAAGAGCUUUGACUCUGUUACACUUUUUGAGCAUGUAUAAAGUUUUACACGUUUGAAAUUGGCUUGAUUUGGUACAUUUAGGCUCAUUUAAUUGAUUUUGAUUCUUCAUUGUAUUUUUACCAUUUAAGAGAUACAUACAUUGUCGGUUUGUAAAGCGGAAAUCUGGGAUUUGAUUGGAAAUGUAAUUUUUGAAAUGGGUUACUUAAUAAGGACAAAGCCUAAAUUUGAUGGAUGAUCGACCAAUAUUUUAUUGGGCAAUGGGUUUCCUGGGUGUGGAGAUAUACGUCUUGAUGGUUUCAAAGACAUAGAUUAUAAUAUAGGCCAAGACCCUUACUAUAAUCGGCCUACCUACAACCUUGUUAUGAAUAAGCUACCUUGAUCCAUACCAUACCUACCUUGACACAGGUCCAGGAAAGUUACAUUGACAUCUAUUUUAUUGGUCAAGCAAGUGAUUAGCACAGGAAAUUACUUUUUUUCAGCAAAUUCUGGAGAAUUUUCAUCAGCCCUUGUCCCAUAAUUGGUCAUUUCGUGUUUCCCUUUUGUUUUGAAGUGGUUUUGGCUUGGCAAGUUUAUUUUUGUUAUCUAGUGCAAAUCAUCAGGCUGAAGUGGAUUUCGACCCACAUUGCAAUUGCUAGUUUCUUUAAAGAAGCAUGCAAAUCCAUGAAGUUACGAAGAUCUGUCUGGGGUGGAUUCUGGAGGCAAAUUUGGCAGCUCACCACCAUUGGAUGUCUUGAUUCUCUCAUCUUCUGACACCUUUGGCUCAGGACCCAGGGUUUAAAUACCCAUUUGAAGCUCUCUUCCCUCUCUUGUAAUCUUGGAGGAUAUGUUUGGGUUUCAAAAUGGUACGAAGCGAGGAAAAAAAAAAUGUUAAAAAGGAAAAUAGUUUUACCUCAUUUAGUUUUCCUGUAUAAAAAAAAUCAAAUAUAAUUUGGAAAUUUAUAUAUUUUUAAUUAUUUAAUUAAAAAACAUAUAAAAAUAAUUUAUUAAUGUUGUAAAAUUAUAAAAUGAAAGAAGAAGAAAACAAGAAAGAAAAAUUAGAAUGUAGGAAGAGAAUAGAAUGCAUGGGAAAACUCUCUUGAAUUUCAUUAGGGGUCUCUCCCUUUUAUAGAGAGUUACAAAAGAUAUUUAUGGAUGAUUAUUCACAAGUUACCAUAGUGAUACAGAAUCUCAUAUUUUAUAAUACUCCCCCUUGGAUGAUCAUAAGAAUAUGCCUCGUUAAAACUUUACUAGGAAAAACCCUAUGGGAAAAAACCCUAGUGAAGGAAAAAGAGUACAAUAUUUUUUUGGAUUACUGCAAUUGCAUCGUUAAAAACUUUGCCAAUAAAACCCAUUGGGACAAAACUUGGACAAAGGAAAAAAGAGUGCAGUAUAUCCAUAUUAUCAUUCUCCUCCUCAUGUAAACAUGAUUAUGAUUUUUUCAACAUUUCAAAUGGUAGAUCUCUCAAUCUUCGUAUUCCAAAGUCAUACCUUAACUUUUUCAAUGUGGUUAAAGGUAACUCAUUUGUAAAUAGAUAUGCUAGAUUAUUGCAUGACCGAAUCUAUUGAACAUCGAUCUCACCUUUCUUUUGGAGCUCAUGAGUAUAGAGGAAUUUAGGGAAGAUAUGCUUAGUUCUAUCACCUUUUAUGAAUCCUCCUUUAAUUUGUGCAAUACAAGCAUGUAACACGGUUGCAUUGCCUCUAAUAGAAGGUAGUCCACAUGUUUCUUGUAUAUGUUGGAUCAUUGACUUUAGUCAUACACAUUCACGACUUGCUUCAUGAAUUUCAAGAAUUUCUGAAUGAUUUGAUGAUGUGACCACCAUUGUUUGUUUGAUAGAUCUCCAUGAGAUAGUAGUACCAUUGUAAUUAAACACAUACCAUGUUUGUGACUUACCUUUAUAUGGAUCUGAAAGAUAUUAUGCAUCUGCAUAUCCAAGCAAUUGUUGCUUUGAUUCUCUUGAGUAAAAUGGACCUAUACCAGUAGUUCCACAAAGAUAACGAAAUAUAUGUUUGAUACCAUUCCAAUGUCUUCGAGUUGGAACAGAACUAUAUCUUGCUAAUAAAUUGAUAGAAAAGCAAUGUUUAGACGUAUACAAUUGGCAAGAUAUAUAAGUGCACUAAUAGCACUAAGAUAUGGUACUUCAGGACCAAGUAAUUCUUCAUCAUUUUUUGUAAGGACGAAAUGGGUCAUUUUUCACAUCAAGUGAUUGGACAACCAUUGGAGAACUUAAAUGAUGUGCUUUAUCUAUAUAAAAACGCUUCAAAAUUUUCUUAAUGUAUGUUGAUUGAUGCACUAAAACUCCAUUUGGAAAAUGUUUGAUCUGCAAACCGAGACAGAAUUUUGUUUUUCCAAGAUCUUUCAUCUCAAAUUCAUUUUUCAAGUAAUUUCUUGUUCUUGUGAGCUCUUCAGGAGUUCCAACAAGAUUUAAGUCAUCAACAUACACUGAAAUAAUUGCAAAUCCGGCUUUUGAUUUCUUAAUGAAGAUGCAUGGGCAUAUAAGAUUAUUCAUAUACCCUUCUUUUAGCAAGUAUUCACUAAGGUGAUUGUACCACAUGCAUCCGGAGUGCUUUAAUCCAUACAAGGAUCAUUGUAACUUGAUUGAGUACAUGUUACGAGGCUUUGUACAAUUUGCUUUAGGCAAUUUAAAUCCUUUAGGGAUUUUCAUGUAUAUAUCAUUAUCCAUGGAUCCAUAUAAAUAUGUUGUAAUAACAUUCAUGAGACGCAUAUCUAGUCCUUUUAGGAUUGCCAAGCUAAUUAAGAAAUGAUAUGUGAUUGCGUCCAUGACGGGAGAGAAUGUUUCCUCAUAGUCAAUACCAGGUUUCUGCGAGAAACCUUGUGCUACUAAUCGCAUUUUAUAUCUUACGAUCUCAUUAUUCUCAUUGCGUUUUCGUACAAAUACCCAUUUAUACCCAACAGGCUUUACAUCUUCAGGUGUUUGGACUACAGGUCUAAAAACUUCUCAUUUUGUUAAUGAGUUUAACUUUGCCUAUAUAACUUCUUUCCAUUUUGGCAAAUCAUUUCUAUGUCGGCAUUUUUCCACAUUUCGUGGUUCAAGAUCUUCAUCAUUUCUUAUGGAGGCCACUUGGAAAGUGAAAAUAAUAUUAUUUUGAUCCCAUUUUUCUCCCAUGUAUACAUAACUUACUGAGAUCUCAUAAUUUUCAGGUACCUGUGCCUCUUCAAGGGCUUCUUAUUCAAUAUGUGCCUCUUCAAGGGCUUCUUGUUCAAUAUAUGUGCCUUUUCAAGGGCUUCUUGUAUUAUUUGUGCCUUUUUUAGGGCUAUAGAUUUAUCAAUUUUAAACUGACCAGUUAUUUUUAUGGCCUCUUUUAGAGUGCCAAGUUUUUCUUGGGUUCUCCUCUUUCGGGGAGUUACAUCAUUUGAGCCGACAAGUCUACCACACUUCAGGCCUAUCUUAGAUUAAUUUGUUAACUAUCUUACAGGGACAUCAAUUUGUGCUGGAGUAUUUGCAACUAGAAUAUAAGACUUUGUCACUUUCUUUGUAUUAAUGAAUGCAUCUUGUAAUUGAUUUGCAAGAUUUUGCAAAUGAAUGAUCCUUUGAACUUUUAGUUCACAUUGAUUUGUAUGAGGAUCAAGAUAAGUCAAAGUCAAUGCAUUCCAAAUAAUUUCACACCGUUCUUGUGGAACUAGCUCUUCUCCCCUUAACGGCGAGAAAAUUGUCUCAUUAAAUGUCAUUCUACCUUUUAAGUGUAUAGGUAUACUAGUCACUAAUUAAAAACUUCUGGUUUUGUAAUGUAUAUCCAUAUGACCUUUUACCCCGGGGGACCAAGUUGGUCUUAAAAGAUUCUUUUGGAUCUAUCAUCAUAUAAAGUGUCAUUCACAUGAAAUCAAAUACUACUAGUGACAUAGUAUAAGCUCUUUUGGAGCCUUUAAUUAGGUUUCUAUCACCUGAUAUAAUAUUAACAUUGUUUGUCAUCAAUGUUGUGCAAUUAAUGAGACAAGAGUUUCAUCAAAGUAACAAGUCAUAAAACAUUGUCAUAAAGACUUCGUCUUUAUAGAGUUGAAUAAAUAUUAUCACAUAGAAAAAGUUAAAAUCAAUGGAAAAAUAUUAGUCAUCGAUGAUAACUUAACUUAAUAAGUUAUGUAAAAGCAAUGAGUGCAUAUAUAACAUAAUAAAAUAAAUAUGAAAAGAUAAUUUAAAGUUAUAUAUUUCGUAAGUAUCUCACACAUUUGAUUUUGUAAGUGUGGAGCAAUUUAUACAUGAAAUAACUAGGAAGUAUUUCAAUAAUCAAACUAAUUGUAGUGAUGGAUCAAGGUAUGAGAGAGAUCCAUGUAUCUUCAAGUAUAAAUAAAUAAAAGAAUUUAAAUGAUAAAUAAUAAAAUGUGAAAUAAACUAUAAAAGAUGAACAAUAAACAAUGUGUUCAAAUAUGAUAACAAAAUAAACCUAUUUGCAAAGAAUUAAAUAAAAACAUAACAUUUAAUCAUAAUAAACAUUUCCAUCACCAAUUAGAUGGUCAAUUUUCCCAUUAGGAUUCUCAAAGAAAUCCGAAACAUCUAAAUGGGUUAGAUCCACUUGGCCAUCACUAUCAACGAAGUUCAUUUCAACUUCCUUUCCUUUUAUUGAUGUUUGGUAAAGGUCGACCAAAUGUUUUGGAGUAUGACAAGUACGUGACCAAUGUCCCUUCAUACCACAUCAUAACACUUAUUCUCAUGGUUCUUAGGAGGUUUAUCUUGUAAACACUUCCCAUUUUCUUGUUUUACCUCAGUAUUAUUCCACUUCUGGUAGUGCAAUGAGGCUUUCCUUUUCUGAGAAUUUGGUGAAUUAUUACUAUAAGAACCAUGGUAUCAGAGAUUUCUUCCAUGACCACAACCACGUCCUUGUCAUCGUUCACGAGUCUGGGACAAUAUUGCAUUCAUUUCAGGGAAUGAUUUAGAUCUAGUUGGUCAACGAGGCUGGUGAUUUCUCAUCAAAAGCUCAUUUUUUGUUAAACCUUCAUGGAGAUGAUGACGAAGAAAAAUUAGUGUUUUUGCACAAUCCUGCAGGGAUGCUUGAUUUCCUUUGAUCAUAGCUCCAAGAUUCAUUGACAAUUUUGUUUUGAAUAACUUCUGGUUAUACAAGAGAAUUAGAAAUUGUAUGCAUAGCUAUGAAACUAUUGUUAAUAAAAUUUGUUUUCCAUAAUUCCUGUUGUGAAAAAUAAGUGAGUACAAAAUAAAAAAUUAAAAGUCAAUAUUUUUCAUAACUUUGAAUUAUGAUCAUUUUGUCAAAAACAAGAAAAUAUGAAAAUUUGGACAUAGUUUCAGGCUAUGAACUAUUUAUGUAUAACUUCUAGUUACACAAUAUAAUUAAAAGAAAUUAAAGAAAUUAAAAGUUAAUAUCUUUCAUAGCUUCAGGCCAUGAUUAUUUUGUCAGAACAAGAAAAUAUUUAAAUUUGUACAUAGCUUUAGGCUAUGAACUGUUUUUUUUUUUUAUAUAAAUUUGUAUAUAGCUUCAGGUUAUGAACUAUUCAUUGGGUAGAUUUGUGCAUAGCUUUGGGCAAUGAACUUUCAUUAUGUAGAUUUAUACAUAGCUUUAGGUUACGAACAUUUAUUUAUUUUAUAGCUUCUGGCUAUAAUAUUGUUUGGUAUAACUUCUAGUUAUAUCGUAUAAUUAAAAAUAAAUAAUUAGGGAUCAUAUACAUAACAUCUGGUCAUGUAUUUGUAAUUUUAUAAUUUUCCCCAUAACUUUUGGUUAUAGUGAUUGCACAUAUUUUUCAUAACUUCUGGUUAUGAAUUUACCCCAUAAUUUAUAAUUUACCUCAUAACUUCUGGUUAUAGGGAUUAUACAUAUUUAUGUAUUUAAAUAAACUAAAUGAAAAUCGAAAUAAAAGGGUAAUAAAAUAGAAAAUCAUGAUAUAAGUUUAUCACAUACCUUUUUGUGAGAAAGAAGAGAAAAAAGUCUUUUUAUUUCUCUGAAAAGGAGAAUGUCUUUCUUAUUUCUCUGAAUAGAGAAAAAUCUUUCUAUUUCUUUUGUAGAGACUAGUCGUGCUGAUAACGUAUUGUAAAAUUAUAAAGUGAAAGAAGAAGAAAACAAAAAAGAAAAUUUAGAAUGUAGGAAGAUAAUAAAAUGCAUGAGAAAACUCUCUUGAAUUUCAUUAGGGGUCUUUCCCUUUUAUAGAGAGUUACAAAAGAUAUUUAUGGAUGAUCAUCCAUAAGUUACCAUAGUGGUACAAAAUCUCAUAUUUUAUAACAAUUAAUUUUAUUUUCUUCUAUUUUUGCUUCAUAUUUUCUCUUAAUUUUUUUGGAGUGUCAAGGUUGCUUUACUAGUAGAGUGUGUUUGGUACGUGAUAGUGAGGAAUGAUGAUAAAUAUUUUGUUUCUAUUUAUAUUCCCUCUAAGAAUGAAUUUCAUUAUUUUAUUUUAAUUCUUGUGUUUGGAUGUAUAUAGGAAUAUAAUAUUGAAAUGUUAAUUUAUUUCCAUCCAAUGUUAAGUAAAAAUGAGAAUGAAAAUGAAAAUAAAAAUGAUCUAUAAUGUCCGCUCAUAUGGUUUAAAUUUUUUUUUUUUUUUUAAAAAAAAAUCUCACAUUGCACAUAAUUUGAAAUAAUUUUUUAUUUCCAAAAUAAUAAAAAUUUAUUUAUGUGUGUGGUUUAUUAAUAAGUUUAAUAAUUUUUUAAAAAUAAUUUAAAACUCAAAAAAUAUAUAAUGACUAUACAAAAUAAUAGAUAUAAUUAACGUUUUAAUUUCUUUAAUAAAUCUUAUAAUUUUUAAGAAUAAUUUGAAAUUGAAAAAAUAAUAAUUAAUUAAAGAUUAAAUAAAAUAAUUUAUAAUGUUUUUUUUUUGCAUAUAAUGAAAAUUUUGGCUCAUUUAUACCUUAAAAAAUAAAUUUUGUUUUUUGAGUUAUUAUUUAUUUAUUUAUAACAAAAUAAAUCAAUUAAUAUUAAUAUCUAUAUUUUUAUAAUAUUUAUAAAAAAAAAAUCUAAUUUAUGGUUUUAUUAUAAAUUCAUAUUUUAUUAAAAAAAUAUUUUAAAAAUUUAUUUGUAAUUAAAAAAUUAUUUUAAUUUUAAUAAGACGUGAAUUAAAUUUAGUUUACAUUAUAUAAAUUGAAUUUAUAAUUUUUUUUUUUACAAAAUAAGAAAUUAUUUUUAAAAACAACUUAUCUAAUAAAGUCUUUAAUUUUUUAUUUUUUGCAAUAUAUUUGUAAAAAUAACUUACAUUAGGAAAUCAAAAUACCUCUUAGUUAUGAUGAAUUGAAAUUCCACUUACAAGUGAGAUUUCAUUUCCAUUGGAAUCACUUUUGAUUAUAUUUCCAUCAUCAUUUAAGUUAUCCAAAUAUGAUAAUGAAGGAGGAAAUGAAUAAGAUACCCAUUCCUACUCCUCAUUUCUGCAUACCAAACACGCCCUCAUAGUUUUUUCAACCCAAUGUUAGCUUGUAAAAUGCUUAAGAAGGCACUUGGAAUGCUUGGAUUUUAAUGCCUUGGCUUGUCAUAUAUUGAUUUUGUAAAAUUAGGCUUGUAUUUGUGAGUUUGUUGUAGUGUCCCACAUUGCCCGGGGAGUGAAUGGGGAAAAGCCAUAUAGGGAGGGCUUUCACAACACAUUAUCAAGGCCUUUUCUUAAGGGCAUAUACUCAAUAAAGAAGCAAAAACGGGAUUGGAUGGUGGACCAUUUGUGCCCCACUACAGCUCAAACUAGACAAUAUUGGGUGGAGAGUGGGCCAUAACAGAAUGGUAUCCAUACUUGAUCUUUGGUUGGAAGUGGGCCAUUAAGGACACUAGGCUCAAAAGGAGGUGGCUUGUAGUGUCCCACAUCGUUCGGGAAGUGAAUAAGGAAGAACCCUAUAUGAAGGGUUUUCACAACACAUUAUGGAGACCUUUUCUUAAGGGUGUAGGCCCAAUAAAGAAGCAAAACCAGGGUUGACUGAUGGGCCAUGUGUGCACCACUACAGUCCUUAAUCGGAUAAUAUUAGGUGGAGAGUGGGGUCAUGAUAGAUGAGUGUUUAAACAUUUUGAUUUGCAAAAGCAACCUUAUUUGGUAAUCUAUCUAUUUGAUUGAAUGGCUAUGAGAUUCAAAGUCACAUCUUCCAACUUUUUCGCUCUUAUUGUAGUGCAUUUGUUGUGUAUCUUGAGUCAGUGCAAAGAUCUAUUGAGGGAUCUCUAAGAACAUGCCCUAUUACUAGCAUUUCUACAUAACUUUGUAUGAAGUUUUCACUCAUCCAAAUCUUCCUUUGUUUUUGGAAAAAUAGUUAUCACCAUUCUUAAAAAAUCCCAUCUAAACUAUUUGAAUUAAUCUCUUAACCUCUUAUAGGUAGCUUAAGUUCUCUUUCUUGCAUAGUUCGACACUUAUCUCACUAGGAUUUUUGUUACUCAAUUGAAAUUAACAACCCUAUACUUAGGAAUAAGUGAACACCAACACAAUAUCUGGGCUCAAGUAUUUUAAAGAAAGGCUAAUACGCUACCUUAAUUUCUAGUGUAAUUCUAGAAUCAUUUAUGUUCUUGUAUUCGGUGCUAUUAAUACAAACUAGACAUGGGCAAUGAUCUUGUGAAUGUAUGUGAGAAGAGAAAAUUUGACUUCGGAAUGAAAUGGUCGUAAAUAAAAAGUAGGAAGAUGAAAUAAGAGAUUGUUGCUCCAAGGUUAUGUAGAGACUUCAAUUAAAUAGCUAAGGAAGAAAAAAGAUAUUUGUGGAAGAUCAUUUAAGUCAAAUUCUUUGAUGAAAUCCUUGAAUUCGAGGAUAUCAGACAUCUAAAAUUAGUGAUUUUGAUCCAUUCUUUUCUCUUUGAUACUAUUAAUGAUUUAGAAAAGUGCAAGAUCAUUCAUUGAUAAUUAAUUAUGAAAUAUAAAACAGGUUUUAUAGUAUGCAAAUUAUCAUAAUGAAACUUUAGAAUAUAAGAUGAUUCAAAAACAAAAACAUUUUAGAAUUAAAGUGAAACAUGAAAUCAUUUGCACACAAAGAAAGAAGAUGAAUGCUUCAAAUGAAAUCAAAGUAGAGCACCCUACAAUAGAUGUCUAAGUAGACAAAAACUAUCAAACCAAAAAGCCAUUCCCAACGAUCUUACAAAACUCCAAAAGAAUGUGGUUUUCAUGGGUCAUUUAAAGCCUUCCAUUCUGGUAAUUUACUAGAUAAAUUGUUGUAAGCUACAACAAAGACUGCCAAGUUGUUUUGCUCUAUAAGUUGUGGAAGAAUGAGACCAAUUAACCUAAUGUUGGACAGAUCCAAACUUUUUAUAUCCUUUAAGAUUGAAAAAGUCAUUGAGAUGGAUCCAGUUAAAAGUGGUUAUAGAAUAAGUUUAGUUUAUGUACUACCUCACUAAGAUAUGCAAUUUCAAGAGGAAUUAUUCUUACGAAGUUGUUACUUGAGAGGCCCAUUCUAGACAUGAAGUACAAAAUGCCUCAUCUACUAGAUUCAGACCUACUUUUUGUUAUGAAAUCCACUACUUCAACUCCAUAAACAAUGUGCACAAAAUUUUACUUCCAAAUGAGUAUGGUUGUUGAGAUAAAGCCAAUACUAACAUAUUCAAUUAUACCAAACACAUCUUUCGUUGCUUAUUUCCUUCCAAGUGCUAUAUUUAAGCAAGUAGGUAUUGGACCAGAGAAAUUAUUGUGAGAAAGAUCCAUUAUGCUUAUUGAUUUUAGCUUAGUAGGAAUUAAAUCUUCAAGUUCAGUUUGUCUCAAGAGAAAAAGCCUCAUAUUUGAGAUGAAACUAAUCUGAGGAUUUUUUCCUGAAAAUUUAUCAUCCUUGAAAUCCAAUGUCAUGAGAGAGGGACUUCUUGAUAACAUAUGGUAGAGGUCCUCUGAUUCCAUGCCCAGCUGGUGUUCCUUGAUUUUGGUCCUCAGACAGGAGUAAUCAACAAAAUUUAUAACCUAUAUCACCAUGUACUAGGAUAGCCUCAGCUAGCAUAGCAUAGUGGCUCUAGGAUCGUUCACUGGGAAGGGUUUUCAACUUACAACUGAUAAUAAUUCAAAGUUGAAUUGAUGUUUUUUCAUUUCAAGGUUAGCUUCAAAAGAAAACAUAAACUUUGGUUUAAAAAGGAUUGGUUUUAAGCUAACUAAAAAUAAAGUAACGGAAAUUACUUAUAAAGAAAAGUGUUUCUUGGAGUUUUACGAUCACUGGGGUCAGGCUCCUAAUAUAAAAACAGAGUUCCGGUCACUUGAACUUUUCCUCGCAUUAGAGAAUUAACAUAUAGUUAUUUCUCUAACCGGUGUGGUAUAGAUGAUUCCCUUUUAUGGAUUCAAACACUAACUUUCUCUCACUGAUUCAUCUUGCAAUGACUCGUGCCUCUCACCUAGCAUUUUCCAUUCAAGGUGAUCCUUAACCUUGGAUUUCCCUUCACAAGCUCGCAAGAGAUAACUAAUGGAUGUCUCCUUAAAGUCCAAAAGCUUACCAAGUGUUGGCUAUUCUAGAAAAUCUUACCUUCAAACCACCUCCCAAAGGCUCGCAAGAGAUAAACUAGUGCAUCUCAAUGGACGGAGAUCACUUGCCUUACCAAGUGUUGGGCCAGGUGAUUUAAAGGCGUUUUAAGUUAACUAAAAACAUAGAAACCAUUAACGGGUUACACUUUCUCUUCAUUAAAAGCUGAAACAACAAAACUUUCAAUUCUUGCAUUCGGCACCUUACCCAGUUUCCUUAACUCCAAGAGACAAAAAGUCUAGCCACUCAUUCUCUGAGGAAACAUCCUCAGAGCUUGUUUGGCUAGUAAGAAAAAUACAAUCAAAAUGAGUAGGUAAGGUAGAGCAAAGCUCUGUAUAUUACUUCCUUCAAAACUAUACAAAAAGUUGUCUCUGAGAACAAGCUCCUGAGAUGUCUGUGUAAAGAAAAUUACAAACUAUAUAUAUGAGGUUAUUCACCCUUUGUUGUUACUUAUUAACUAAGGAAUCCUAUGAUUGGUGGAUUACAAGGAGAGAAUGGGGAUUUAAACAACAAAUAUCUAAAGAAAAAAAAUCUAAAAGAGUCGGUCACAAAUAUCUGGAAGCACUUAGGUGGAUUUCACAGGCAUACAAGAUAGGCUGCGAAAUUUCGCAAGCUGAAAGUCUCCAUUUCGCAGCCAAAGGUUGAUUUCACAGCUAGCACCUUGUGAUUUCGCAGUUGCGAAAUUGGCCUUCAGCUUAGUGUGAUUGGCUUCCAACGGCUAUAACUUCUUCAUUUCAACUUUGAUUUAUGCACCGUUUGAAGUGUUGGAUUUAUGACUUCCCGAACUUCAAAAUGAAAUAUAGUAGGCAUGAAAUAGACUCCAAAAAGUGCUCUAAUACUUAACACAAUUUGAUUGGAAACGAUUGCAAAGGUACUUAAUAUGCCAAUAGAGCUAAAAGGUAAUAACUACUACUCAAAAGUGUUUAAAAGAGUUAAUUACAAGCUACAAAAUAACACUUUUUAAGUAGUAAUCAUCCUCUAAAUUCAUUAAAAACCUCACCAUUGAUAGAUUGACAUAAGGUGGUAUACUCGAUCCAUGUUUGUUCUAUAAAAGAUUUAAAAAGUGAAGUUUGUUGAGCUUGAAAAAGCCUGCUGGUAUUGGCCCUUCCAAAUUAUUUGUGGACAAAACAAGUGAAGUUAACUUAGGCAAGUCUCCAACUCUAUCAAGGAUUUGACCAGACAGUAAGUUACUGCUUAUAUCCAAAUCUUAGGAAAGAAUUAUUUAAACCAAAAUCUCUCAAACCAAGCUAUUAUUUUUUAAAUAUAAAAAACAAAGUUGUCUCAAGUUUGACUCUAUAAGAAGAGUUCCAUACAAAUUAUUGUUUGAUGACUCCAAAAAUCUCAAUGACACAACCCAUGAGCAAGUUCUUAGGUAGUAGUCAUGAGAAAUUGGUAUUGGAUAAGACAAAAUUGUUGGGAUUAAGCCCCUUAAAGCAAGACAUGAGAUGACAAAGUUAGACUUACCUGUCCCCUUGUAAUCCAUUUGGUGUAUUGGCAUUGAUUUGAGCAUUCAACCUAUGUCUCUUACAUUGUACAUGACUUGAGUACAUUAGGAGUUACAUAAAAGAUACAAGCAAUGGGUUCCUUAUAAGUAGAUAAGUUGUCCAUAGUCAGUUCAUGGAUUUAGGCAAUUCAGUAGUGACUGUAGUGAACCGUCUCCUAAUUGGAGGGAUGACUUGUCUUGACCAUCAGGAUGGGUUUUCCAUGGUGAGUAUACCAAUGUAAGUGAUGCAUAUUAGACAUGACCUACGAUGAAUCAUGAUGCAAGGCUUUCAAUUGUUAUGAUUCACUAAACUACUUUACUACAUGGAUUCUCAAGUUUAAAAGGACAUUGAGUCUAUGUCAAAAUCAAAAGGAGGCUUUAAACUAUGGGUGAGACCCUAAAGUGGUUAUAUAUCCAUAUGGAUUGAGUCAUUAUUGAUAGAGACUAGUGACAAUAGGUAUUCUUAAUAAAGGCACCAUGAUAUCUCAUAGGAUUGAGACAAUGUGUCUCAUUGGGUAAUCCAAAUGACAUGUGAUCAUAAAAUAUGUGGCCAUAGUAAUUCCCUUAGUGAAAUUUGACAUAUACUCAUUGGAGUUAAAGUAUCUCAGUUGAUCACAUAAUAAGUGAGAUCUGUAACUCAAGGAUUUGAGAGGCAACCAUGAUAGGUGAUAACAAUACCUUGUUAUAUUAUGAACACCAGUUCAUGGGGAGUCUGGAUGCAAUAUAUAGUAGGUUAUGGACUUGAGCACUUUGUCACAGACUUAGUCUUUUCUUAAGCUCGUGUGACACUUAGACAAGCCAAGACCCUUGAUCUUGCUAAGUCAACCUUACUCCCAAUGCUUAGCUUGCUAGGUUAAGACGCUUGCGACUCAAAAGAUUUAGAAGGUGUAGUAGGCAACUCUUAAAGAAUGAAAGCUUUAUUGCUUUCAAAGGAAGCUAUAAAAAGCUUAGAAGCUCACUUGCUUGGUUAGGAAGUGAUUUGGGUGGUGCCUUGGCCAAAUGAGGCCCUCACCUAUUUAUAGGCACCAAUGGAACUCUCUGGAACCUUGGAGGGUUUCUUACAAAUCAAGAAAAUUCUAGAAUACCUUGCACAAUUCUAUGUACAACCCUAUGUACAAGAGAUCUCUAGAAUUCUCUAGAAAGCCUUGGACUCCUCUCAUGCCUUCCACCAUAGUGUAAAGAUGUGUAGACAUCUCUAGGCAUCUCUAGAAUCUUCCACACUUUUCCCUCCAAUGGCUUAGUGUAGAUGGCUCCAAGAGUCUCCAGAAGCUUCUUGGGAUCUAUAUAAACCCAUGAGGAGGCUCAUUUGAAGCAUCCUGUGACACUCUCCCCCACCUAUGCCGUCGACAUCCUCGUCGUUGCCUUUUUUUGAAACCUUUCGAUGUGUUUCCAGAACCUUCUCAAGGCAUCCGCAUGUUCCCAACUUACCUGCCUCCUAGGUAGUCAUUUCCAUCGGACUAGAUACUUUAUCACAAGAGGGACCCUUUGUCUCCUGGUGACCUAUUCAGCCAGGAUAUUUUUCACUUCUUUUUCUUGUGAGGCCUUGGAUGGAUGCAGAUCCCUGCACUUUCGAUGCUUGGAGUGCUGCUUUCUCUUACCCAUCAAGUUCACCUUUGCCUUGGUCACCUUGUCAAUGUAUGUGUGGGCUACCUUAGCUUACUCCCCUUUUCUCUCAUUUAUUUGCACCCUUGAUAGUAAGGAGGUCUUAGGUGUACUAGGAUUUGGGUUGAAUUGGAGGGCACCUAGUAGUUGCAUCGAGCCCAUAUGUGCUUUGUCUUCCUGUUCCAUCUCCUCGAUCAUGGCAUUGAGCACCUUCCUCUUUGGAUAAUGUCGUGCCCAAUGUGGACUAUCACAUAGGAAGCAUUUGAUUUUAGGCGUAAACUCCUUCCUUUUUGCUUUACCCCUUCCUUCUUGGACAUUAGGCGUCUUGCCUGAUCCCAUUCUAGGAGCAUUGUGGUCUCUUGAGACCUCGUCUCCCCUACUUGUGGCGUGGCUAUCCUCCAAAGACUCAACCUUGGAUAAGUCUCCCCUCUUGUAAUCCGUUAAAGACUCUGCUACUGCCAUAGCAGUGGUUAAGUCCUGAAUGCCUCGACGCCUUAAUUCCUACUCGGCCCACCCUUGCAGGUUAUCCAUGAAGUUGAAUAGCAACUCAUCCUCAGUCAUGUUAGGAAUCUCAAGCAUGAGUGAAGAGAAUUCCUUGACAUAGUCGCGUAUCAAGCUUGUGUGCUUGAGACGUUUCAUGUUUUUCCUAGCCAAGUAGCAGCCUUGUAGAUGGCCAACUCCUGCCUAACCUCCUAGUCUUGGGACUCCAUUCGAGUGGCCAAAGCCUCUAUCCUUGACUCCAUGCUAGCAAGCAUGCUCAAGACCUUUUCUUGGAAGGACACAAACUCCUCGUGCGACACUAGCUGAACCUGUGAGACUAGCACCCUCUCACGAAGGUCUUGGAUUUGCUCCCUUAGAUCCUCUAAACCCUUCUCCAUGCCUUGCUCAAUCAAGUCCAACCCCUCCCAAGUGUCCGCCAUGGCUAGCUCACUUUGGCUAACCUUGCCUCCAUGUUAGCAACGACAUCAUGAGAUUUAUCCUUCUUGCCCCUGCCCCAUGCAGUAGGCUCAGUCUCUCUCUUCUCCUCCAUGUUAGAGUCCGACAUGCUUCUUUUACUAUGCCCGCUUCGUAGCCAUGCUCUGAUACCACUUGUCACGGACUUAGUCUUUUCCUAAGAUUGUGUGGCAUUUAGACAAGCCAAGACCUUUGAUCUUGCUAAGUCAGCCUUACUCCAAAUGCUUAGCUUGCUAGGCUAAGACGCUUGCGACUCGGAAGCUUUAGAAGGCGUAGUAGGCAACUCUUAAAGAAUGGAAGCUUUAUUGCUUUCAAAGGAAGCUAUACAAUGCAUAGAAUCUCACUUGCUUGGUUAGGAAGUGAUUUGGGUGGUGCCUUGACCAAAUGAGGCCCUCACCUAUUUAUAGGCACCAAUGGAACUCUCUGGAACCUUGGAGGGUUCCUUACAAAUCAAGAAGAUUCUAGAAUACCCUACACAAUUCUAUGUACAACCCUAUGUACAAGAGAUCUCUAGAAUUCUCUAGAAAGCCUUGGACUCCUCUCAUGCCUUCCAUCAUAGUGUAGAGAUGUGUGGACAUCUCUAGGCGUCUCUAGAACCUUCCACACUCUUCCCUCCAAUGGCUUAGUGUAGAUGGAUCCAGGAAUCUCUAGAAGCUUCCUAGGCUCUAUAUAAACCCAUGAGAAGGCUCAUUUGAAGCAUCAUGUGACAACUUGGUGUCUUAUUCUAAUAUACAUAGGGUAUUGGAGUAUAGUUGACUCUUUAUAGUGAGAUGUUGAGUCAAUUUCAGAAUUGAAUUCUAUGGGAGAUAAUACUCCUAUAGAUACCAAUGGUUCCUACUCUGAGCUCAUAUUCCUUGAUGACACGGUUUAUGAGGGUUUGGUGGUUUUUAGUUCACUUUUGUGGAUAAGGGCAUUUUGGUAAUUACACAAGGUUGCAUAAGGAUAAGUGAGUGGUACCUCUAGACUGGACUAAUUGAUUAAUUAGGGUCUUAUAUGAUUAAUUAAUUGAUUAGCAAUCUUUUUUAGGUUAGAUUAAGUGACCUAAGCCCAUAGUGGGCUUAAGUGACUUAAGCCUAGUAGGAAGCCUAUAAAUACCCCUUUAAGGGUUAGAAUUUCCAUGUCUUGCCAUUUUCUCCCUACAAUUUAAAGAGAGAACCCUGACCUUCACCUUUGAAAUCUCAACUAUCUCAAUGCCUAGACAUAAGGAAAAGUCAUCGGGUGGAAGAUCAUGAUGUUUAUGAGAUUCAUUAUGACUUUAAAGUUAUCUACAUCAAUUGGAAUCGAUCCGAGAACAUCUGAAUUAAAGGUAUGUGACUUUAUUCUUUAGAUCUUGGAUUUCUAUGACAUCAAUAUUGAUUUUUGAAUAUCUAGUUUUUCGCUAUGAUAGAUUUAGAGAGCUUAAGAUAGAUUUUCAUGCAUCUUAUGAUAUUUAAUGCCUAAGAACGGGGUAAUCUGGGGUUCCCUACGAAAAUUUCCAAUUUUUUCAUAUUGCCCACCAGGAAUUUUAACUUGCAAUGAAUUCCCAAACAAGUUGAAGACAACCAAGUUUGGAAAGGCAAGGCUUACUUGAGGUGGAAGAUCAUGUCCAACAAAAUCAUGUAAAAAUUGCUUGAAUCAGAGACUAAAUCACAAACAGCUAUUAAGAUAUUACCUCUAAUUAAAAUUUAGGAAUUCAAAAUUUAUAUUUUCACCAAUGACCACAUUAGAACAUCGCUGGUCAUGCCAUUAUGAUUGAGGUCAACCCCUUUCAAUUCAUAUUGAUUAAUAGAAAACUGUGUAUAACAUUACAAUGGUUAUUUGAUGAUAAGGGUAGGUUAGCUUUGACAAGCUACUCUUAGGACUACUAUGAACACCAAUAUUUAUAUGAUCUUAAAGACCUUGACAUUUUCCUUUAGGAUGGCUAAGGGGAUUUCAAAGAUUAUAAGGCGUUCAUAUGGAAGUUAAAGGUUCUUCAAGUUCUUCUGUCAAAAAGAAUAAGAAGAACACCAAAUGAGGAAAGUUCAAGGGAAAGAAUAAAAAAGCAAACUAAAGGGUAAGUGAUUCCUUUAUGACCUUUUAAGACAGUAGAAAAGGAAUGCCUAGUUUAGCUAAAGGAAAAAAAAAAGUAUACAUCAUUUUCUCCUUGUUGAAUAUUUAAAGGUGGAUUUCACCAUUUAUGGUGGAUAGAUUCCAAACUUACUGUUUAUAAGUCCUUAUAGGAUAUUCAACAAAUGUGAAGGUUAAAUGAUGUGAUUAUAUAUUCUUUUAUAUGUAUUCCAUUAUCACUUUGUCAAGUGAUGAGAAUAGUCAAAUCUCAAGAUUGAACCUAGUACUAAUUAAACAUUUGGUAUCUAAACCUAGGUCAUAUUAAUCUAAAUAGGAUCCAAAGACUGGUAAAGUUUGAACUUUUUUUAUUCAAGAAGAUCUUCCAAUCUAUAAAUCAUGUAUAAAUGGUAAAAUGGCGAAGAGGAUUAGAGCUAAGGAAUGUUUGGAGUCAGUGCAUACUAACAUGUAUAUAACUUUUAGUAUCUAUGCAUGGGAAAGGUAUGAGUAUUUCAUCACUUUCAAUGACAAUUAUUCUAGGUUUGGAUAAGUACAUAGGAAAUCUGAUACCUUGGAUACAUUCAUUGAAUUUAAGGCGGGAUCAAUAAACUAUUGGGUAUACAUACCAAGUCAUUUCAAUUAGAUCAAAGUGAUAUGUCUAAUAAGUUUGAUUCUUUUUGUUGGAGCAUAGGAUUAUUUUCCCAGAUUAUUUUAGAGUUAUGUCUUACUGAUUAUGUAAUACUUCUUUUUCUUAAGAGGUAUAUCAAUUUAUAGGAUAUCUAAGCAAUUUUUGGGUUAUCAUAUUUAUAGUCAAGAUCAUUAGAAGAUAUUUUUUUUACACAAAUGUUAGAUUUUAUAUAAAGACUAUAUGAUAAGGAAUAAAACAAAGAGUGAUAUAGAUUGGCAAAUAUAUUAGAAAAUAGUCCCAUAUUUCAUAAUAUACUAUGGAUUUAGAGGGUAAGAAAUAUACCAUUCCUAUGGUUUCUAGUACACCAGUACCUCAGCAU
rnacentral:lncRNA from 1 species